rnacentral:rRNA from 1 species
UAAGACAUAGGUGGCGAACGUUAUCCGGAAUUAUUGGGCGUAAAGGAUGCGUAGAUGGUGUGAAAAGUUAUCAGUGGCAAAUCGGGGCUCAACCUCGUGGAAGCUGUUAAUACUAUCAUGCUUGAGUUCAGGAGAAGUUAACGGAACUCCAUGUGGAGCGGUAAAAUGUGACGAUAUAUGGAAGAACACCGAUAAGGCGAAGGCAGUUAACUAUUCUGUUACUGACAUUGAGGCAUGAAAGCGUGGGGAGCAAAACGGAUUAGAUACCCGUGUAGUCCACGCCCUAAACGAUGAGUGCUAGAUAUUGGGAACUAGAUUCUCAGUGUCGCUAGUUAACACGGUAAGCACUCCGCCUGGGUAGUACGAUCGCAAGGUUG